GGAGAGAUGGAUGAGCGGUUUAAGUCGCACGCCUGGAAAGCGUGUAUAGGUUAGUAGCCUAUCGGGGGUUCGAAUCCCCCUCUCUCCGCCA
rnacentral:tRNA from 1 species